UCUUUGAGUUCGACGAAUGGCUGCAGAUCCUUUUAUCAAUCAUCAGACAUAAGGAUGCCUGUGAGUUUCUGGCUUUUUGUUUCUUCUCCCUUUUCUACUUCUGUUUUCUGUCUCAAUCUCCAUCUUCGUUGUACUCUCAAUUAUGCCUUCCUUAGUCAGGGAACCAUUAUUUUUUGCCAAAUCCAGAAUGAGUAUGUCAUCGUGUCGUAUCAACACCAGUGGCCGGCAAUAUCUCUAAGAAGCAUAAACUUAUGACAUGCUAGAUUGCAUUACCCUCAUCAAGCUUGCCAUUCCAAAACACCAACUUUAAACAUGAGGCCCUGUAUAAAGAUAAUUCAUUGCAUAACGCAUCCAUGCUCUAGAAAAAGAAUGUGCUCGCAUUCAUUUUCCAGUGCACACAAUGGACUUGGAUCAAUAAUCAACUAUUACUACCAGCCACAAGGUAUCAGAAAAUGUCUCCGCCUUCCAGUGGGUUGAUGGAAUCAAUCAUUCUAAAUCUUCGUUAAGUACCAAACUG
rnacentral:misc_RNA from 1 species